rnacentral:pre_miRNA from 1 species
AAAAGCAUCACCUGGGGAUCUUGUUAAAAUGCGGAUUCUGGAAUGGUAGGUGAGGAGCAGAGCCUGAUUCUGCAGUUUUAACAAGCUCCCAGGGGAUGUCAAU